rnacentral:rRNA from 1 species
GAUGAACGCUGGCGGCGUGCCUAAUACAUGCAAGUCGAGCGAACGGACGAGAAGCUUGCUUCUCUGAUGUUAGCGGCGGACGGGUGAGUAACACGUGGAUAACCUACCUAUAAGACUGGGAUAACUUCGGGAAACCGUAGCUAAUACCGGAUAAUAUUUUGAACCGCAUGGUUCAAAAGUGAAAGACGGUCUUUCUGUCACUUAUAGAUGGAUCCGCGCUGCAUUAGCUAGUUGGUAAGGUAACGGCUUACCAAGGCAACGAUGCAUAGCCGACCUGAGAGGGUGAUCGGCCACACUGGAACUGAGACACGGUCCAGACGCCUACGGGAGGCAGCAGUAGGGAAUCUUCCGCAAUGGGCGAAAGCAUGACGGAGCAAAGCCGCGUGAGUGAUGAAGGUCUUCGGAUCGUAAAACUCUGUUAUUAGGGAAGAACAUAUGUGUAAGUAACUGUGCACAGCUUGACGGUACCUAAUCAGAAAGCCACGGCUAACUACGUG